ACGAACGCUGGCGGCGUGCUUAAUGCAUGCAAGUCGAACGGUCUUCUCGGUUCGCCGGGAGGACAGUGGCAGACGGCUGAGUAACACGUAAGCAACCUGCCCUUCGGUGGGGGAUACCUCGGCGAAAGCUGAGCUAAUACCGCAUUCGAUCUCCGGGGGAAGCGCCUGGAGAGGAAAGUCGAAAGACGCCGGAGGAGGGGCUUGCGGCCUAUCAGGUAGUUGGUGGGGUAACGGCUCACCAAGCCAAGGACGGGUAGCUGGUCUGAGAGGAUGGCCAGCCAGACGGGGACUGAGACACGGCCCCGACUCCUACGGGAGGCAGCAGCAAGGAAUCUUGCGCAAUGGGCGAAAGCCUGACGCAGCAACGCCGCGUGGGUGAAGAAGGCCUGUGGGUCGUAAAGCCCUUUUGCUGGGGACGAAAAUGACGGUACCCAGCGAAGAAGUCCUGACCAACUACGUGCCAGCAGUCGCGGUAAAACGUAGAGGGCAAGCGUUGUCCGGAUUUACUGGGCGUAAAGCGCGCGCAGGCGGCUUGGGAAGUCCGGGGUGAAAGCUCUCCGCUUAACGGAGAGAGGUCCUCGGAGACUCUCAGGCUUGAGGACAGCAGAGGGGGGUGGAAUUCUCGGUGUAGCGGUGAAAUGCGUAAAGAUCGAGAGGAACGCCAGUGGCGAAAGCGACCCCCUGGGGUGUUUCUGACGCUGAAGCGCGAAAGCGUGGGGAGCGAACCGGAUUAGGUACCCGGGUAGUCCACGCCGUAAACGAUGAACCCUAGGUAUGGAAGGUAUCGACCCCUUCCGUGCCGAAGCUAACGCGGUAAGGGUUCCGCCUGGGGACUACGGCCGCAAGGCUAAAACUCAAAGGAAUUGACGGGGGCCCGCACAAGCAGCGGAGCGUGUGGUUUAAUUCGAUGCAACGCGAAGAACCUUACCAGGGUUUGACAUGCCGGAAGUAGGAACCUGAAAGGGCGACGGCCCGUCAAGGCGGGAACCGGCACAGGUGCUGCAUGGCUGUCGUCAGCUCGUGCCGUGAGGUGUUGGGUUAAGUUCCAUAACGAGCGCAACCCUCGCUGCUAGUUGCAUUCUCUAGCGGGACUGCCGAGUAGAACUCGGAGGAAGGUGGGGAUGAUGUCAAGUCAUCACGGCCCUUACACCCUGGGCUACACACACGCUACAAUGGCCGGUACAAUGGGCUGCGAAGGGGCGACCCGGAGCCAAUCCCACCAAAACCGGCCCCAGUUCAGAUUGCAGGCUGAAACCCGCCUGCAUGAAGGCGGAGUUGCUAGUAACCGCCGGUCAGCACACGGCGGUGAAUACGUUCCCGGGCCUUGUACACACCGCCCGUCACGUCCUGAAAGUGGACAGCACCCGAAGCCAGCGGGCUAACCCGCAAGGGCGGCAGCUGUCGAGGGUGAGGUUCGCGAUUGGGACG
rnacentral:rRNA from 1 species